GACGAACGCUGGCGGCGUGCUUAACACAUGCCAGUCGAACGGAAAGGCCCUGCUUUUGUGUGUUGCUCGUUUGGCGCACGGGUGAGUAACACGUGAGUAACCUGCCCUUGACUUUGGGAUAACUUCAGGAAACUGCGGCUCAUAUCGGAUAUGAGCUCCUGCUGCAUGUUGGGCGUUGGAAAGUUUCGGCGGUUGGGGAUGGACUCGCGGCUUAUCAGCUUGUUGGUGUGGUAGUGGCUUACCAAGCCUUUGACGGGUAGCCGGCCUGAGAGGGUGACCGGGGACAUGGGGACUGAGAGAGGGCGCAGAAGGGUACGGGAGGCAGUAGGGGGGAAUAUGGCAGAAUGGGGGGAAGCCGGAGGCAGAAGCGCUGGGUGCGGGAUGACGGCCUACGAGGUGUAAACCGAUGUCGAAUGUGACGAAGAGUGAGUGACGGUAAUGGGUAAAGAAGCACCGGCUAACUACGUG
rnacentral:rRNA from 1 species